rnacentral:rRNA from 1 species
AGUGAACGUUGGCGGCGUGGAUUAGGCAUGCAAGUCGAGCGAGAACCGUAGCAAUACGGGGACAGCGGCGAAAGGGACAGUAAUGUGUAGGUACCUACCCCGAGGUCUGGGAUAGCUGCGGGAAACUGCAGGUAAUACCGGAUAAUGUCUUCGGACCAAAGGUGUGAUUCCACCUUGGGAGGGGCCUGCAUCCUAUUAGCUUGUUGGCGGGGUAACGGCCCACCAAGACGACGAUGGGUAGCGGGUGUGAGAGCACGACCCGCGUCAUUGGGACUGAGACACUGCCCAGACACCUACGGGUGGCUGCAGUCGAGGAUCUUCGGCAAUGGGCGCAAGCCUGACCGAGCGACGCCGCGUGCGGGAUGAAGGCCUUCGGGUUGUAAACCGCUGUCGUAGGGGAGGAAAUGCAGGUGGGUUCUCCCUCCUGUUUGACCUAUCCUAGGAGGAAGUACGGGCUAAGUUCGUGCCAGCCGCCGCAGUAA